rnacentral:rRNA from 1 species
AUUGAACGCUGGCGGCAGGCCUAACACAUGCAAGUCGAACGAGUGGCGGACGGGUGAGUAAUGUCUGGGAAACUGCACGAUGGAGGGGGUUAACUACUGGAAACGGUAGCUAAUACCGCAUACCAUCGGAUGUGCCCAGAUGGGAGUAGCUAGUAGGAGGGGUAACGGCUCACCUAGGCGACGAUCCCUAGCUGGUCUGAGAGGAUGACCAGCCACACUGGAACUGAGGCACGGUCCAGACUCCUACGGGAGGCAGCGGUGGGGAAUAUUGCACAAUGGGCGCAAGCAUGAUGCAGCCAUGACGCGUGUGUGAAGAAGGCCUUCGGAUUGUAAAAUACUUUCAGCGAGGAGGCGUUACUCGCAGAAGAAGCAUCGGCUAACUCCGUGCCAGCAGCCGCGGUAAUAC